ensembl:lncRNA
CUGCAGACCAUCUUCCCCGGACACAUAGGCACAUCCCGUUGAAAGAUCGCAUAUCAAUGCCACUGACCCUUGAAUUACCUUUCUACAGCUUCAGAUGGGACAUCCAUUUAGCAUUUAGGAGAGUCUAAGUCAAAGUUCACUAAUAAGGCUACUGUUUAAAGCAAACAAACAACAAAAAAGCCACAGUAAGAAAGAAGACAAAUCUCUUUGAGAAAGGAAGGAGGACGUUGAUCUUUUGCAGUUAAUGAGUCCCCACGCAGCUGGACAGCUCCUCUCGGACACUGAGAACUCUAACCCCAAAAUGACCCCAAUUUGACACCGCAAGAUGAAAUUUUACCGCCUGUUAAAACCAUUUCCAGCCUGGGCAAAAGGAACUGACUGUUGACGGAGGUGUGUGCCGCCUCCUGCGACCCCCAUCUCGUGCCUGUCUCUUGGGCCUGCCCCACCUACUUUUCCUUCACCCCAAAUGUGGAAGAACAGAUGAGCCUCGCAGCCUGGAUGGGGGUGCAGAGGCUUGAGACGGGAGCAUCAGGAACGUAAUAUCAGGCUAGAAAUCAGAAAGUGUGUGUACCCCACCGCUUUGGAAUCGCUUCUAUCGGACUGGCAAAAUUGGAGGAGGUUGGGGGAGAUCCGGAAGUUCUUAAAUGUUUUUCAGCUCUGUUAAUAAAACAUCAGCAAGUUGGUGAUUAAAAGUAAUAAUUUUUUAAUUCAUCAGAUUGGCCAAGAACUGACACCCUGAAUCACCUCCAACUUGAUCUUGUGUGUAAUCUGCACUGCGAUGCUAUUUUACAUUUGCAGUUUCAUAAAUGACAUGCAACUAGCUAGCGGCGCUGAACUGGGAACUCGGAUCCAGAUUUCAAGAUCUCUAGUAGAAAACGCUCCGCAGGCGAGACCAGACUGUUAUCUUUCUCUCAUCCUUCCCACCCCGGCUAAACUGAAUUCACGUAACUGCCGCUUGAAAUAAAAUUCUGCAAGACAACUUUUUUACUUUUGCGUCUUCUUUCCUUUUCUACUCACCUUUUCUUAAAUGUCGACGAGAAACUCAGCAACAAAUAAGGAGGAUGCUUUUAAUCUUGGAGUUCUUCUAGGGAAAAAAUAGGAAGGGGACGGACCCUCCCCACAACCUGCCCGUUUCAUACCCGUUGGAUCAUACAGGCUUGAAGCCCGGCGUGAAAGUGCUGGAAGUCUGGUCUAGACUCUCCUCUCCGAAGCUCCGAGUGCCCGGCCGUCCCUGCUCUGGUCAAAUGGGCAAAGACCUCGCAGUCCGCAGCCCCGCUCCCUGGCGUCGCCCUACCCUCGCUUCUGCCAGCCCCUCCGCACUAUCUUUAUAUGUGAGGGCCGAUUUCCCGCAGACAUCAUUGUUAUGAUGGCUCAUUUAAUCAAACUGUUUAAUUGCUCUGGUAAUCACUAUCAUCAUCACAGGUGCUCAAUCAUUCAUUAUUUUUGGAGGGCUUUAUUGACCUCCGGAGCUCAUUCCCCAGCCCUAUUAAAACGGGGCCAAAUUUCUCCGACUUAGCUUGGAGUCUCAGCAGGCUGCGAUCUAAGCUCAGUUGAGUGUUGCC